rnacentral:rRNA from 1 species
GACGAACGCUGACGGCGUGCUUUAGACAUGCAAGUCGAACGAGAAAGCCCUUCGGGGUUAGUAAAGUGGCGAACGGGUGAGUAACACGUGGGCAAUCUGCCCUUCGUUGGGGGACAACCGGGGGAAACCCCGGCUAAUACCCCGUAAGCUUGUCGGGUCGCAUGGCCUGACAAGGAGAGGUAGCUUCGGCCAUCCGGCGAAGGAGGAGCCCGCGGUACAUUAGCUAGUUGGUGAGGUAAAGGCCCACCAAGGCGACGAUGUAUAGCUGGUCUGAGAGGAUGAUCAGCCACACGGGGACUGGGACACGGCCCAGACUCCUACGGGAGGCAGCGGUCGGGAAUCUUGCACAAUGGGCGAAAGCCUGAUGCAGCAACGCCGUGUGAGCGACGAAGGCCCUAGGGUCGUAAAGCUCUGUUGUUAGGGACGAAGGGCGAAGGGUUAAUAGCCCUUAGCCUGACGGUACCUUUCGAGGAAGCCCCGGCUAACUACGUGCCAGCAGCCGCCGUAAGAC